GACGAACGCUGGCGGCGUGCCUAACACAUGCAAGUCGAGCGAGUGGAUCUCCUUCGGGAGUGAAGCUAGCGGCGGACAGGUGAGUAACACGUGGGCAACCUGCCUCAUAGAGGGGAAUAGCCUUUCGAAAGGAAGAUUAAUACCGCAUAAGAUUGUAGCUUCGCAUGAAGUAGCAAUUAAAGGAGCAAUCCGCUAUGAGAUGGGCCCGCGGCGCAUUAGCUAGUUGGUGAGGUAACGGCUCACCAAGGCGACGAUGCGUAGCCGACCUGAGAGGGUGAUCGGCCACAUUGGGACUGAGACACGGCCCAGACUCCUACGGGAGGCAGCAGUGGGGAAUAUUGCACAAUGGGGGAAACCCUGAUGCAGCAACGCCGCGUGAGUGAUGACGGCCUUCGGGGUGUAAAGCUCUGUCUUCAGGGACGAUAAUGACGGUACCUGAGGAGGAAGCCACGGCUAACUACGUGCCAGCCGCCGCCGUAA
rnacentral:rRNA from 1 species